AUUGAACGCUGGCGGCAUGCCUUACACAUGCAAGUCGAACGGUAACAGGUCUUCGGAUGCUGACGAGUGGCGAACGGGUGAGUAAUACAUCGGAACGUGCCCGAGAGUGGGGGAUAACGAGGCGAAAGCUUUGCUAAUACCGCAUACGAUCUCAGGAUGAAAGCAGGGGACCGCAAGGCCUUGCGCUCACGGCGCGGUCGAUGGCAGAUUAGGUAGUUGGUGGGAUAAAAGCUUACCAAGCCGACGAUCUGUAGCUGGUCUGAGAGGACGACCAGCCACACUGGGACUGAGACACGGCCCAGACUCCUACGGGAGGCAGCAGUGGGGAAUUUUGGACAAUGGGCGCAAGCCUGAUCCAGCCAUGCCGCGUGCAGGAUGAAGGCCUUCGGGUUGUAAACUGCUUUUGUACGGAACGAAAAGACUCUGGUUAAUACCUGGGGUCCAUGACGGUACCGUAAGAAUAAGCACCGGCUAACUACGUGCCAGUCGCCGCAGUAACAC
rnacentral:rRNA from 1 species